CCUACGGAGGCAGCAGUGGGGAAUAUUGCACAAUGGGGGAAACCCUGAUGCAGCGACGCCGCGUGAGUGAAGAAGUAUCUCGGUACGUAAAGCUCUAUCAGCAGGAAAGAAAAUGACGGUACCUGACUAAGAAGCCCCGGCUAACUACGUGCCAGCAGCCGCGGGAAUACGUAGGGGGCAAGCGUUAACCGGGUUUACUGGGUGUAAAGGGAGCGUAGACGGCGCUGCAAGUCCGGAGUGAAAGCCCAGGGCUUAACCAUGGUACUGCUAUGGAAACUGUAGUGCUUGAGUGCGGGAGGGGCAGGCGGAAUUCGUGGUGUAGCGGUGAAAUGCGUAGAUAUUAGGAGGAACACCGGCGGCGAAGGCGGCCUGCUGGAGCGUAACUGACGUUGAGGCUCGAAAGCGUGGGGAGCAAACAGGAUUAGAUACCCUAGUAGUC
rnacentral:rRNA from 1 species